rnacentral:lncRNA from 1 species
CUCUCUUAACUGAGCAAGUGUAGGAACAAGGAUGGUUUGGCUGCAUCUAGGGGAGGGUGACUGCCUGCUAAGGGAAUUUUCGAAUCCCAAUGAUAAUAAUUAACAAUCAAUAAGCCUUGACUAAUCCCCAAGGUUUGUAAGACACUGGGUUAAUAAUAAUUAGGCAAGGACUCAGCUUUCUGCAAAAGGUCUGUACAGUUUAUUCAGAGAAAGUAAAAAAAUAGGACUCAGUCCCGUUCUAAAGUCAAAAAUUAGGACUCAGUCCUUUUAUAAUACACACACAUAUUCCUAUCUUUAGACCACUCCCUUCUCAAACAACCAGUACUUUUCCACUCACCACAAAGAACCAUAAAGUUUGCCACAUUCUUCAAGGCUUUCACCUCCCCUCCCCCUUUAUGACCCUCUUGGUUUGAAACCUCUCCAAUGUUUUUCUUUUACCUAAUCUACAACUUCACUCAGUUUACAUCCCUACUAAAGAAUAUCACCUCAAAGUUUUACAAUCCUAACCGAUCUCCCCAUAUCCUGAUUUUAUCUUCCCAUUAUUCUUAAACAUAUCACCCUAUUCUAUAAUUUCAGAGUGGAAUAGUUAAGUCAUUUUCCUAACACAUACAAAUCCACCCUUUGACUAAAUGUUACACUCUGAUACUUCAAUUUUUAUUAAACAAUAAAAUCAUACCAAAUCAAACCAUUAAAUGUAUAUACAUCAUCUACUCAUCAAUGGCUGUUUACUACUACUACCAAUCCUAACUCUUCUGUUCAGGAUUAUCAUCAUGAUCUUCAUUGAAUAAACAGUCUCUAAACAUUGAAAAUCGUCUCAUUAAGUUCUGGCUCCUCAGGAUUGAAUGUAUCAGCGGUGUCCAUCAGGUCUAGAUCUGUAUCUCGUUCAUUCAAUUGGUCAGACUCUGCGAUGGGCCCGUACCUCACCAUCUUUUGAGUCACUGCAUUCUCCAACGCCUUACUCACCAAACCUCGGACACAGGGAAUAAAACAACAACCACAUAAUACCAGCAUACCCAUACAAACAAUAGCAGCCCCCACAAUAGUAGCUACUAUGGUUUUCCAUUUGCCAAACAUUUCAUCAAACCAUCCGAUCACAGAUGUAUUAACCCCUAAGUUCUCAGCCCGUUCAUCACUUAGUGCGGUCAACCCAGCCAAGGCUCUAGUUACAGUCCCCUCUGGUGAUGUAUUAUUUGGAAUAAAAGUACAGCAAUGACCCCCCACCAUUCUACAAACCCCGCCCUUCUCUGCCAAUAACAUAUCGAGAGCCAACCUAUUUUGCCAAGUCAUGAGAGAGGUGGCGGAUAAUUGGUCAGAGAUUCCCUUCACUGCAUCUCUAGUCUGAUUUACAAAUCUUUGUUGAUUAUAAUAGAUAUAGUUUAUCCAAUCCACAUUCUUAUUUAUCGUAACCCACCAAAAAAAAGUAGUUGUGAACCCUUCACCUAUUUGAUUCAACGCCUUGUAUUCAUCUGGUACUCCUCUAGGGAUCCCAAUGGAAUGGGGCUACCCUCAUCUAGGACCAGACUUCUCUUAUUUCUUACUAUUUUACUCACCACUGGCCUUUGAUGACUAAUCCUCACUGAUUGUACCAAUAACACUGGGGCGCAAGUACCUACCCACCCUUUUGGUAACAUCUGCCUUAUGCGUCCUUGGUCGGAACAUGCCCACCAUACAUCAGUUAUAGGUGCUGUAAGGUUAAGAAUCUUCUCCUGCACUUCUAAGUCUGUCACAUUCACUACUGUCUUACCUCCAUUAAAAUCUCCCAAAUCCCUACUGCCAUUCCUGUGUCUAUAACACUGAUACUCUCCAGGAGUUAGAGUGAACUGAAGUGGAUUGGCUGCACUCUUUAAUCUGGCCAACCCCAUUCCUGUACAGUUCACCUCCUCCUGAUUAGAUCCUAAGUCUAACACACAAGAGAGCAUAGUCUGUGGCAUUGGAGCCGUCAACAUAGUUGGUCACCCAGUAGAGCAUGCAUAACAAUUGGUUUGGCCCAGAGCCCUGGCCGUAUAAUUCAUCCAUCUUAACCAGAUUUUCAUCUGGUAUUCCUUCUAUCUCCCCUUGGUUCCUUUCUUGGAGAAGGAAGUCCUUCACAUCAGGUAGACUAAUGGAUUUUCCACCUGAAUUAGCAAUUCCUAAUAACGGAUUUACUACGGUGUAUUUUCCUGUAGUGUCUGUCAACUGAAAUGAUAUGCAGGUAUCCUUGCCCUACUCAUCAGCGCAUGCCAUAUACUUAAUUUGCAUGUCAUUCCUAGUCACAUUUUGUAUAGUUACAUUUGUAUAGUUAUUCCGUUCAACACCCCACCGUGCACUCCAUUUCCAGAUAUUAGUCUCAUAUUCCCUGCCCCAUGUGUGUUUAAACACCUGUGACCAGGAACACAUAGACCUAGUUGGUUGACACAGGUAUAAGGGGGUGUUGUCGUCCGUUAGUCAUAUUUAGUACCCUCAUCCUGAAUCUCGCGUUUUGUUCUUCUCUAACCCCUAUUUUAUAUGUUAGUCUUCCUUGCCUGUCCUUACUUUGAGUAGUUUGUCUUUUGCUUCUCAACCCUGGUAGAGAUUCGGUACGAUUUAUGCCUACUGAUGGUGGAUCUGGAUGUAUCAAGAAUAUUAUUAGUACUAUGAUGCAGUUUAGGGUCCCCCCCAUAUUCCCAAAAAUCACCAACCCUCUCCUGCCUGCAGCCUAUCUGCCCGGAACCACCCCAUACUCACACUCUAGGAACACACACAGUGAUGACAGGUCGGGUUAGGGAAUCUUCGUUAAGGAGGUAACCCCCGAACCCUAUUGGUACUCGGUUCUUCUCCUAACUCUGUGUGUGAUCAGCAGUGCUUGUAUGUGUUCCUACCUUCUUGCAGUGGGUAACGUAGACCCAAGUGGCUCUCUCAGCUAUUCUAAUGGCAAAGGCGGUAGUUAACAGAACCUGGUAGGGUCCUUCCCAACGGGGCUGUUUCCAGUCUUUUCUCCUCAGGGACUGGAUCCACACCCAGUCUCCAAGCUAUAUUGCAUGAAUCACCUUCUCCUGUAAUUCACCUGUUGGACACAAAAUCUUGGACAUGUGGAUUUGGUUAACAAACAGUCUUCUCAUGUGUUUUGCUAGUAUAUCUUCAACUUCUAUGUCUAUCUGUUGUGGUCUCUCUAACUCUGGCAUUUCUAUAUGGUCUACCUGAUUAGCUGAAAUAUAAUCCAUUGCUUAAAGAAAUAGAUCCUAGUAAACCAACUCUAGGGAUAAUAUCUAUCCUAUUUUUUUAGCUACCAUAAUCAUGUCCACCAAGUAAGUUGAGAGCGCUUCUACCCAUUUACUAUUCUUAUCUAUUAUUGCUAAACACCCUUCUUUCCCUCACUCCGGAAUAGGUUAUAACAUAUAUCAAUGAAGUCCAUUUCUAAUUGUUGGAAUGGAUAUUCUACCUGGGGGUUAUUCUCCCAGUGGUGCUCUUCCUCUACCUUGAUGAUUAUUCUAUGCACAUAUAACACAUCUUGUACAAAAAUAUUUUAAAGUCAUUUUUAAUUCCGUAUGCUACAAAGUGUUUCCUAAUUAUUUCCAUCAUCCCCCCGUUGAUACAUGGCUCUGCCCAUGUAUCAACAUAGCUGCAUACCUAAACAGAGACUUUGGUAAUAUAGGUAAAUUACCCUGAUACCAAAUACCAUCUUUAUUUACCACACCUAAUUUUUUUCCCAUUUAGAAAUUUCCUUUACUGGUGCUCUAGACUGACUAUCUUUUAGUAGGGUUUUAUCUAUGCUCACUUCCUCUUUCAAAUAUUGCCGUGUGGGAGUCUGUGGUUUAAGGCCUGCCUUCUUCGCUUCUUCAUCUGCCUUUCUGUUGCCAUUGCUAAUUUCAUUCGUUCCCUUAGAGUGAGCUUCACACUUACAAAUUGCUAUCUUUUCUGGCAGCUGUACAGCAUCUAAUAAGUUCAAAAUCACCUGAGCAUGUGUAAUAGGUUUACCAGAAGUGGUUACCAUUCCUCUUGUGGAAGAAUUCCCAACUGGGGCUGCUCUCUUUGCCAAAACCUUGGAGAAUUGCACUAUGCAUCACUUUCUCUAAUUACACCCCCCUCUGCCAAGUCUUCAAAGGUGGGAGUAAUCUCUUUUAUGGCCUCGGCUUUCUGUGGGAGUGACAACCACAUUCAACAGAAUCAUUCAACAGGUUAUCUAGACAUAACCUGGAGUUCAGGAUUGGAAUACAUGCCUGCUCUCCUGACAUCCCCUGUUUCAUAACCAAUGGAGCAGACAGUCUUUCCACUGUCGGAUGUCCGGAAGCUGAACAACCAAAAUCUUUUCCUCAUUUGUUCUACCUCCUUCAGGCUUAAAAUAUAUCCUAAAUACUUAAAAUAAGUAUAGCAUUAUUAAACUCAUUCUUGCUAACUCAAUAACCUUGUUCAACAACAAAAUAUAAUAAUAGUUAUUAUAUCAAUUUCACAGCCUUAUUGUGUUCAAUUUCUUACACUGCCUUCUCAUGUGUUAAAUUACAAAUAUGUCUAAGAACUUUAAACUCCAUCAUAAUUAUCAAUUACACAAAUUACCUUAAAAUCAGUAUCACAAAUGACCUUAAAUUCACUAUCCAAAUGGCCCUCCCAUGAGGCUGAUCAGACCACAAAGGAACACCAUGAUAGAGGUCAAGAGUCAUACCACCCCUUCACAGAAGUGUUUCCUACUAUCUUAGACAAAUUAAAGUUUACUUAAAACUCAGAAAAUAAAACUUCUAAAAUUCCAUGUGUGUAUACCCCUUUAAGAUAUCGUGGCUCUAGGAAACUUUCCUAAGAGAGACAAUGAAGCACUCAUUUUCCUAGAGAAAAAAACCUCUUGGUCAACAUUUCAUUAUACUACACCAAUUCAGAAACCCAAACGUUGACUAUAAACAAAACUUAAUAAUAAUUCCACUGUAACCCCCUUAAAUCAUGAAUCAUUUGUAUUAAACUUCCUCAAUGGUUAUGUGUACUUAAUUGAACAUGCGCUACCCUUGGAUACAACAUUUAACUUCAAAUCUAUGAAAUUUCCCUACUUAACCUACUCCUUGACUAGUUUAGCCCAAGCUUGCUUUAUAACCUUAAAACCCCUUCAGUCUGUCUUCAAACAGGCUCUCAAAGUGUUUGAUAGGAAUACUCUGCCAUUAGACACACACAACUGUGAUUGAUGUGCACUGUCCCUGUAAAAUAAAAUGAACUCAACCUGAGGUCGGUGGUUGGCAAUUCAACACUUCACAGUCUGUGUCCUCUGAAUCCUCACUGUCAUUCCCCUCAUCUAGCCAUGCCUGUUCUUCCUCAUCCUCGGACUCCUCUCGCUCUCUCAUUCGCCUACGUUCCCUCUUCUGUCUAUCCCUAAACUGUCUCUGUCUACUGUUCCUUGGUGGGGCCUUACAAUCCUCUGCCAUUUGGCCUGUUUUAUUGCAGUUGUAGCACUUUCUCUCCUUGGGUUCUAUCCACUUUCUACUCCCCCUGUUUCCCCCUUUUUAAAAUCAUUCCUGCUCUUUCCUGCAAUUUCCCCAAGAGUGGCGAUCAAAUUUUCUGCUCCUGUCUGUUCUUUCUUACUUUUCUUUUCCUUGCCAUUAUGCUCAUGGUGUAUAGCAUACCUCUUUACUUCGGCCAAUGUGGCUGUUCCCCACCCUAUCAGAGUCUCUUUUAUGAUUUGGCAAAUUUCAGGCUUCAUACCACUCAAGAAGGCUAUUUUUAACUGUUGGUGGUAAGGUCCGUCGUCUCCCUGUCUAGGAUCUACCAGUCCACUAUUAGCAUUGAACACGUCUCAGUCUCUCUAAAUACUGGCUAACAGUUUCCCCAUCCCCUUGGUUACACUCCUGUAUCUUUGAAAAGUCUGCAUGUCUAUGGUAAUUGUCCCUAAGAUUAUUACAGAGCUGUGUCAAUUUGUCUGCAUAAUCCCCAUCUCCUGCCCAUGGUAAAACCGGUUCUCCUCCUUGCCCUGGAACCCAGGCUCCCCUCACUGCUGCCCAGUCUUUCCCCACUAUCUGUCGGACAGCCCUUUCCAAUUCUCCUGUAUUUACUUUAAAACUCUCGGUCAGUCCCUCCAUAUCUCUCCUAAACCCUUCUAUUCCUGUUUUUGGAUGUACUAUUCCCUCAACUGCUCUUGCUACAUCUCUCUGAGUCCAGGAUCGAUACACUUGUAAGGUAUCCGAUUGAUCAGCUUCGCCUGCCCUAGGAUUAGGAAACUCUAUGAGAGGACUCUGAUCCUCCUCCCAAUCUGAUUGAACCUCCCACAGCCCUGGCUUAUUAUACGGUGCUAGUCGCUUUUUAAGGUUAGACUCUCUUGGUUCUGGCUCUUCUUUCCUCUCCCUGGCUAUGGCUUGCUCUCUCUAAUCCUACUUGGCUCUCCCUUCUUUUCACUUUCCAUUUUAUUAUUACCUUCUACUCUAUUCUGGGCCUCUGACAGCCACACCCUGGCUGUAUCCAAAACUUCUGCUUGUUGUCCCUGGAUGUUAUUACCACAGGUUUCAUGCAUCUGUUUUAUUAUAACCUCCAGCUUGUCCACAUCUAGACGCCCCAUAAACCCGUAUUUCUUUCUCCAUUUCGGACCAUUAUACACAUUCCUCUUAUCAUCAGACUGCAUAUAGCUCUCGUUCCCGGUUAAUUCCUGGUCCUCCUUUGAGGAUUUACCAUCCAUGUUUAUUAAAUUACUGUUAUGCUUAUUCUCACAAUAUGUGUGUACUUACUCAAUUACUACAUUUAUUUUCUAAUAUGCAUUUUCACUUUCUAUGGGUGUAACCUCCUUCCUCCUAUUUGGAAUAAUCAGACCUAUUUUGCGCGCCUCCGGUAGAUCUCGAUUAUCCCCUCUAAAAUGUAUUUCGACAGGCGAUCUGUAUUCAUACAAAUUAUGUCCCUGACCUACUUUCUAAUAAUUUUGUAUUAUUAUAUUUCGCCUUCUAUAUUACGUUUUCCGUCUAAUAUAUUAUUGACCAGUUAUCGUUUAGGUCUCAAUAUUAGCUCCAAUUCUCACAAUCUAUGUGUGUGCUCUACUGUUAUCAUAUUACGUUUUCCGGCUACUGUACUUCAACCAGUUUUACUGUUAGGUCUUACUGUUAGAUACUGUACUUCAACCAGUUUUACUGUUAGGUCUUACUGUUAGAUACUGUACUUCAACCAGUUUUACUGUUAGGUCUUACUGUUAGAUACUGUACUUCAACCAGUUUUACUGUUAGGUCUUACUGUUAGAUACUGUACUUCAACCAGUUUUACUUUUAGGUCUUACUGUUAGAUACUGUACUUCAACCAGUUUUACUUUUAGGUCUUACUGCAACCAGUUUUACUUUUAGGUCUUACUGCAACCAGUUUUACUUUUAUGUCUUACUGCAACCAGUUUUACUUUUAGGUCUUACUUUUAGGUCUUACUGCAACCAGUUUUACUUUUAGGUCUUACUGUUCGAAAUUUCUUACUUAGAUCUGUGACCCAGUGACCCAACACUAACAUAGAUACUUUUGUAAUUAGACUUUCUCUAUGUUAGAUUAUAUGGAUGGUUAUUCCAGAUACCAUUCAAUCCCGUUUGAUUUAAGAAUCAAGCCCUUUCCCACUCUAUUUUGACUAAUGCAAAGUCCAUUUUUUAAGCGAUUUAAUAUAUAUAUAUUUUUUUACUUAACCCCCAAACAAAUGAAUAAAGAUUACUGACCUUUUCUUUGCAGCUGAGGUAUAAUUUUGGUUAGGUCUCGUCACCGUUUACUGUCGUUUUCCAGUUCACCACCGGCCUGAAAUGAACCCUCGAUUAUUAGAGGGCAGGACUUUGUUUUUUACGGAUGAUUCAUCCGCCCGUGCACGGUUUUCAGUGUCCCCUGGAACGACAGUCAACAAGUAUAUGAGAUCUGCUCGAAGGACCAAUUGUUAAGGGAAUUUUCAAAUCCCAAUGAUAAUAAUUAACAAUCAAUAAGCCUUGACUAAUCCCCAAGGUUUGUAAGACACUGGGUUAAUAAUAAUUAGGCAAGGACUCAGCUUUCUGCGAAAGAUCUGUAGUUUAUUCAGAGAAUUAGGACUCAGUCCUUUUAUAAUACACACACAUAUUCCUAUCUUUAGACCACUCCCUUCUCAAACAACCAGUGCUUUUCCACUCACCACAAAGAACCAUAAAGUUUGCCACAUUCUUCAAGGCUUUCACCUCCCCUCCCCCUUUAUGACCCUCUUGGUUUGAAACCUCUCCAAUGUUUUUCUUUUACCUAAUCUACAACUUCACUCAGUUUACAUCCCUACUAAAGAAUAUCACCUCAAAGUUUUACAAUCCUAACCGAUCUCCCCAUAUCCUGAUUUUAUCUUCCCAUUAUUCUUAAACAUAUCACCCUAUUCUAUAAUUUUAGAGUGGAACAGUUAAGUCAUUUUCCUAACACAUACAAAUUAUUCUAACA